AGCAGCCGCGGUAAUUCCAGCUCCAAUAGCGUAUAUUAAAGUUGUUGCAGUUAAAAAGCUCGUAGUUGAAUUUCGGGGUCAGUAGGCUGGUCGUGCCACAGGUAUGUACUGGUCUCACUGAUUCCUCCUUCCUGAUGAACCGUAAUGCCAUUAAUUUGGUGUUGCGGGGAAUCUGGACUGUUACUUUGAAAAAUUAGAGUGUUUAAAGCAGGCUAACGCUUGAAUACAUUAGCAUGGAAUAAUGAAAUAGGACGAUCGAUCCUAUUUUGUUGGUUUCUAGGAUUGACGUAAUGAUUAAUAGGGAUAGUUGGGGGCAUUAGUAUUCAAUUGUCAGAGGUGAAAUUCUUGGAUUUAUUGUAGACUAACUACUGCGAAAGCAUUUGCCAAGGAUGUUUUCAUUAAUCAAGAACGAAAGUUAGGGGAUCGAAGACGAUCAGAUACCGUCGUAGUCUUAACCAUAAACUAUGCCGACUAGGAUCGGAUGAUGUUAAUUUUUAAUGACUCA
rnacentral:rRNA from 1 species